UACGGAGGGGGCGAGCGUUGUCCGAAGUUACUGGGCGUAAAGCGCGUGUAGGCGGGUUGCCAAGUCCGCUGUGAAAGCCCGAGGCUCAACCUCGGAGGGUCGGUGGAUACUGGCAGUCUUGAAGGUGCUAGGGGGAGAUGGAAUUACCGGUGUAGCGGUGAAAUGCGUAGAUAUUAGGAGGAACACCAGUUGCGAAGGCGGCUCUCUGGACUGUAACUGACACUGAGGCACGAAAGCGUGGGGAGCAAACAGG
rnacentral:rRNA from 1 species